rnacentral:rRNA from 1 species
UGGGGAAUAUUGCACAAUGGGGGAAACCCUGAUGCAGCGACGCCGCGUGAACGAAGAAGGUAUUCGUAUCGUAAAGUUCUGUCCUAUGGGAAGAUAAUGACAGUACCAUAGAAGAAAGCUCCGGCUAAAUACGUGCCAGCAGCCGCGGUAAUACGUAUGGAGCGAGCGUUGUCCGGAAUUAUUGGGCGUAAAGGGUACGCAGGCGGUUUAAUAAGUCGAAUGUUAAAGAUCGGGGGUCAACCCCGCAAAGCAUUGGAAACUGAUAAACUUGAGUAGUGGAGAGGAAAGUGGAAUUCCUAGUGUAGUGGUGAAAUACGUAGAUAUUAGGAGGAAUACCAGUAGCGAAGGCGACGUUCUGGACACAAACUGACGCUGAGGUACGAAAGCGUGGGGAGCAAACAGG